rnacentral:rRNA from 1 species
CCUUUACUGACGCUAAAGCUCGAAGGUGCGGGUAUCGAACAGGAUUAGAUACCCUGGUAGUCCGCACGGUAAACGAUGGAUGCCCGCUGUUUGCGAUAUACUGUGAGCGGCCAAGAGAAAUCGUUAAGCAUCCCACCUGGGGAGUACGCCGGCAACGGUGAAACUCAAAGGAAUUGACGGGGGCCCGCACAAGCGGAGGAACAUGUGGUUUAAUUCGAUGAUACGCGAGGAACCUUACCCGGGCUUGAACUGCAGCGGAAGGAUAGAGAGAUCUUGACGCCCUUCGGGGCCGCUGUGGAGGUGCUGCAUGGUUGUCGUCAGCUCGUGCCGUGAGGUGUCGGCUUAAGUGCCAUAACGAGCGCAACCCUUUUCUUCAGUUGCCAUCAGGUGAUGCUGGGCACUCUGGAGACACUGCCACCGUAAGGUGUGAGGAAGGUGGGGAUGACGUCAAAUCAGCACGGCCCUUACGUCCGGGGCUACACACGUGUUACAAUGGGUGGUACAGAGAGUCGGUCGUCUGCAAAUGCGAUCCAAUCCUUAAAGCCAUCCUCAGUUCGGAUUGGGGUCUGCAACCCGACCCCAUGAAGCUGGAUUCGCUAGU